rnacentral:rRNA from 1 species
CCCUGGCCUUGACAUACUAAGAACUUUCCAGAGAUGGAUUGGUGCCUUCGGGAACUUAGAUACAGGUGCUGCAUGGCUGUCGUCAGCUCGUGUCGUGAGAUGUUGGGUUAAGUCCGCAACGAGCGCAACCCUUUUCCUUAUUUGCCAGCGGGUAAUGCCGGGAACUUUAAGGAUACUGCCAGUGACAAACUGGAGGAAGGCGGGGACGACGUCAAGUCAUCAUGGCCCUUACGGCCAGGGCUACACACGUGCUACAAUGGUCGGUACAAAGGGUUGCUACCUCGCGAGAGGAUGCUAAUCUCAAAAAGCCGAUCGUAGUCCGGAUCGCAGUCUGCAACUCGACUGCGUGAAGUCGGAAUCGCUAGUAAUCGCGGAUCAGAAUGCCGCGGUGAAUACGUUCCCGGGCCUUGUACACACCGCCCGUCACACCAUGGGAGUUUGUUGCACCAGAAGUAGGUAGUCUAACCGCAAGGAGGACGCUUACCACGGUGUGGCCGAUGACUGGGGUGAAGUCGUAACAAGGUAAGCGUAGAUGA